UCCACUUGCCUCGGCCUCCCACAGUGUUGGGAUUACAGGCGUGAGUCACCAUGCCUGGCCAAGAAAAGUUCUUUUAAGUAUGUAAAUGAUUCAAUUUGGAUGAAGGUGAAUAGCCCUAUUCAGCCAACUGAGGCAGGCAGACUGAAGUGAAAAUAAAUAAGGAGAACUUAGCAUUUCCUUGUUUGACUUUUAAUGGAAUAAUGUCAUUGCCAGGCAUGGACUCAAACAAAGUAGGCACUUGGUUAAUAUGUAUUGAAUGAAAGAAAUGAGCAGGUAGGCUUUUAGGAAGUGGAUCUUUUGACUGACUCCCAAAUGCUGGUCAUUGCAUUUCUAGAACAAAGGCCACAUUUUAGAAACAACUGGGGAGUCUUUUUCAUGGACACAUGCCCAGCCCCAUUAGAGCAUCCUGGCAGGGUGUCCAGCCGUGUAUGUUUUGAAGCUCCUGUGGUUCAGACACAACCUGUUACACAACUACCACCUUGUUAUCUCUGUGGUCCUGGCCUGUGCUGAUGCUGUGAUAUUUUCACCCUGAAAUGAAGAGUCAUCCCAACAUCAAGGUCAGUAAACCAAUUCCUGUCCUUAAAAUGGAUUCAUUAUUAUUUGAAUUUCAAACAACAGACCAACCAUAGCUCAAUGUUUCUCAAGAGUAUCCUGUGGAGCACAGUGCGUGAACGCCCAGAAGAAAGCAGUCUGUGGUCAGGUGGGUUUCUGUGCCAUUUGCUGCCACCUUCCCUGCAAACAGUGAUUUACAGCACACAUUGUUCUUGUGUCUGUUCUGCAGUGAUAAAACCCAUUUAACUCAGUGGUUCCCAAAUGUACUGACCGUGGAACUGUUUUACUCAGGGGACACUGUUAACAUCCUGUAGAAGCACAGUAGCAGGUAUCCAGCCUGCAUACGAUAAGACAACCAGAACCAAAUUUGGCAGGUACAUGUCUGGAACUCUGUUUCAUUAUGCCGUAAAAUAAAACUACGAAUUUCAUUCAACAAAUCUGUACUGAAUAAGUAGGCUUCACUCUUGGGAUGUCAACUUUUAAAACUUACUUAAUAUCAGCUAUCGUUAUAUAAUCUUUGUUCAUAAUGACGCUGUCUGGUUGAACACAAACUGGCUGGGUGUUAAAUUCCACUUGUGUUUAUGAUAUUUAAUAAUGUCCUAAGAAGGCAGCCAGUAGAACCUUGGCUACUGUUUUUCAAAAGUGGCUCUGCAUUGCUCCUACAUAACCCCGUACAUUACUCCACAGUCCUGUUAGAGCCCUGAAAGGGAAACUGCUAAAAAUAAGGUUCUUCAUUUAGGUGACUAGGAACUCCCAAUAUUUUUGCCCUAGGGAAUACUGGGAGACAAAUCUCUACGAUCACAAAUUACUAAUGGUUUCCCCAGAACUGCUGGUGGCCAUAUCCCCUGGCAUGUGGAAGGGCCCAGAAGAGGCCACUCUACUGCAGAGGCCAACAGAAGAGUGUUGCCCAGGCUGGUCUCAAACUUCUGGGCUCAAGCAACCCUCCAGCCUCGGCCUCCCAAAGUGUUGGGAUCAUAGGCAUGAGACACCGUGCCUGGCGAAGAUAUUUUUACCGAAAAGGACAGAGGGUGUACUUGGAGGCACAUACCAAAGAAAUGCCAUGUGAGAACAAGCAAGAAGGUGGCCAUCUGUAAACCAGGAAGAGUGUCCUCACCAGAAAAUGAAGUGGCUUCAACUUUGAUCUCAGAAUUCCAGCCUCCAUAACUGUUUACAAAAGACUUUGUGAGAGAGCUGGCAUGAUGGCCGAAUAGGAACAGCUCCAGUCUGCAGCUCCCAGUGAGACUGACACAGAAGGCGAGUGAUUUCUGCAUUUCCAACUGAGGUACCCGGUUCAUCUCAUUGGGACUGGUUGGACAGUGGGUGCAGCCCAUGGAGGAUGCGCUCAAGUGGGGUGGGGCGUCACCUCACCUGGGAAGCACAAAGGGUCAGGAAACUUCCUCUCCUAGCCAAGGGAAGCCAUGAGAGACUGUACCAGGAGGAACAGUGCACUCUGGCCCAGAUACUGCGCUUUUCCCAUGGCCUUCACAACCAGCAGACCAGGAGAUUCCCUCCAGUGCCUGGCUUGGUGGGUCCCACCCACAAGGAGCCCAGAAAGCUAAG
rnacentral:lncRNA from 1 species